rnacentral:rRNA from 1 species
GAUCUUUAUUUUUGUUUAUUAUAAUUUUUUAAGAAUUAUUAGAGUUAUAUUAUAAUUAAAAAUUUUGCUGGGGUGGUAUAAAAAUUUAAUUAACUUUUAUUUUUAUUAAACAUUAAUGUAUGGAUAAUUGAUCCAAUUUUAUUGAUUAAAAAUUUAAGUUACCUUAGGGAUAACAGCGUAAUUUUUUUUUAGAGUUCAUAUCGACAAAAAAGAUUGC